rnacentral:rRNA from 1 species
AGAACGAACGCUGGCGGCAGGCCUCAAACAUGCAAGUCUAGGGGGUGUAGCAAUACAUCACCGGCGGACGGGUGCGUAACGCGUGGGAAUGUACCUAUUGGUUCGGAACAACACAGGGAAACUUGUGCUAAUACCGGAUGAGCCCGAAAGGGGAAAGAUUUCUCGCCAAUAGAUCAGCCCGCGUCCGAUUAGCUAGUUGGUGGGGUUAAAGCCUACCAAGGCGACGAUCGGUAGCUGUUCUGAGAGGAAGAUCAGCCACACUGGGACUGAGACACGGCCCAGACUCCUAAGGGAGGCAGCAGUUGGGAAUCUUGGACAAUGGGGGAAACCCUGAUCCAGCCAUGCCGCGUGAGUGAUGAAGGCCUUCGGGUUGUAAAACUCUUUCGACGGGGACGAUAAUGACGGUACCGUAGAAGAGCUCCGGCUAACGUUCGUGCCAGCAGCCGC